rnacentral:rRNA from 1 species
UACGAAGGGGACUAGCGUUGUUCGGAAUUACUGGGCGUAAAGCGCACGUAGGCGGAUUUAUAAGUCAGGGGUGAAAUCCCGGGGCUCAACCUCGGAACUGCCUUUGAUACUGUAGAUCUCGAGUCCGAUAGAGGUGGGUGGAAUUCCUAGUGUAGAGGUGAAAUUCGUAGAUAUUAGGAAGAACACCGGUGGCGAAGGCGGCCCACUGGAUCGGUACUGACGCUGAGGUGCGAAAGCGUGGGGAGCAAACAGG